rnacentral:rRNA from 1 species
CACGUAGGGGGCGAGCGUUGUCCGGAUUCAUUGGGCGUAAAGGGCGCGCAGGCGGCCCGGAAAGUCGGAUGUGAAAACUCUGGGCUCAACCAGAGACGCCACCCGAUACUGCUGUGACUUGAGUACGGUAGGGGAGUGGGGAAUUCCUGGUGUAGCGGUGGAAUGCGCAGAUAUCAGGAGGAACACCGGUGGCGAAGGCGGGUCUCUGGGCAGUAACUGACGCUGAGGAGCGAAAGCGUGGGGAGCGAACAGG